AUGUGGAAGCAAGAGACAUCGAUGUUCCUUCAAACUCAUGGUCAGGCUUACCCCAGCCUGGGAGGGUGCCAGGGAAUGGUUUCCCUUGUGACUACCUGCUCAUGCUGCAGACAGGACAUUGCUCAGCCCCAUUUGGAUGUGCUUUUCAAGGUAGGUUAUUUCUCCUGGAAAUACAUGCUCUUCUCUUUAACCCACUGCCUGGGCUCUGCAGCUGCUGUGGCAGAUGGGCAGCACAUUGGGCUUUCUGGGGGUGCUUCUUUCACACCACUGACCACUUCACAGAAUCACGUGGGGUGGGAAGGGACCUCUGGAGAUCAUCUAGUCCAACCCCCUGCCAGAGCAGGGCCACCCAGAGCAGGUCCCACAGGAACGUGUCCAGGUGGGGUUUGAAAGUCAGUUGAAUGUGACUUGAAGUGAAGUUGCUUGAAGUGACUUCUCCUUUUCUCAGCAGCCCCCGUCUCUUCAAGGCCAGGGUUUUCUUUGGCAUGUUUUCCUGCUUUUGCUGGCUCUCAAAUCAAGCUGAGCUGGUGUGGAGACUCUCUCUGAAACUGUACCCUGCAUAUGUGGACUGUUGUGGUCCUGCUAAAGGACUCGGUGGCUUUCUGUCCUGCUGACUGAGUCAUUAGUGGCUGUAAUAAUUAU
rnacentral:lncRNA from 1 species